rfam:Salmo salar isolate Sally breed double haploid chromosome ssa21, whole genome shotgun sequence.
UGCCCUCACUACUGUAAGUCGCUCUGGGUACGAGCGUCUGCUAAAUGACUUAAA